rnacentral:rRNA from 1 species
CGGAAUGGGUGAGUAACACGUGCUUAAUCACCUUUAGAUUGGAAUACCCAUUGGAAACAAUGGCUAAUGCCGGAUACGCAUGGAACCGCAUGGUUCCGUUGUGAAAGGCGCUGUAAGGCGCCACUAAAAGAUGAGGGUGCGGAACAUUAGUUAGUUGGUGAGGUAAUGGCCCACCAAGACUAUGAUGUUUAGCCGGGUCGAGAGACUGAACGGCCACAUUGGGACUGAGAUACGGCCCAAACUCCUACGGGAGGCAGCAGCC